rnacentral:rRNA from 1 species
AUUGAACGCUGGCGGCAUGCUUUACACAUGCAAGUCGAACGGCAGCGCGGGCUUCGGCCUGGCGGCGAGUGGCGAACGGGUGAGUAAUGCAUCGGAACGUGCCCAGCAGUGGGGGAUAGCCCGGCGAAAGCCGGAUUAAUACCGCAUACGACCUGAGGGUGAAAGCGGGGGACCGAAAGGCCUCGCGCUAUUGGAGCGGCCGAUGUCGGAUUAGCUAGUUGGUGGGGUAAAGGCUUACCAAGGCGACGAUCCGUAGCUGGUCUGAGAGGACGACCGGCCACACUGGGACUGAGACACGGCCCAGACUCCUACGGGAGGCAGCAGUGGGGAAUUUUGGACAAUGGGGGCAACCCUGAUCCAGCCAUGCCGCGUGCGAGAAGAAGGCCUUCGGGUUGUAAACCGCUUUUGUUCGGGAAGAAAUCCUCUGGGCUAAUACCCCGGGGGGAUGACGGUACCGGAAGAAUAAGCACCGGCUAACUACGUG